UACGAAGGGGACUAGCGUUGUUCGGAUUUACUGGGCGUAAAGCGCGCGUAGGCGGAUCGCUAAGUCAGGGGUGAAAUGCCAAGGCUCAACCUUGGAACUGCCUUUGAUACUGACGAUCUGGAGAUUGGGAGAGGUGAGUGGAAUUCCGAGUGUAGAGGUGAAAUUCGUAGAUAUUGGGAGGAAUACCAGUGGCGAAGGCGACCACCUGGACGGAGACUGACGCUGAGGCACGAAAGCGUGGGGAGCAAACAGG
rnacentral:rRNA from 1 species